GACAGAGGGUGCAAGCGUUGUUCGGAUUUACUGGGCGUAAAGGGCGCGUAGGCGGUCGUGACAAGUCACUUGUGAAAUCUCCGGGCUUAACUCGGAACGGUCAAGUGAUACUGUCGGACUAGAGUACAGAAGGGGCAACUGGAAUUCUCGGUGUAGCGGUGAAAUGCGUAGAUAUCGAGAGGAACACCUGCGGCGAAGGCGGGUUGCUGGGCUGAUACUGACGCUGAGGCGCGAAAGCCAGGGGAGCGAACGGG
rnacentral:rRNA from 1 species